rnacentral:rRNA from 1 species
CCUACGGGUGGCUGCAGUGGGGAAUAUUGCACAAUGGGGGAAACCCUGAUGCAGCAACGCCGCGUGAGUGAAGAAGUAUUUCGGUAUGUAAAGCUCUAUCAGCAGGGAAGAAGAUGACGGUACCUGAGUAAGAAGCCCCGGCUAACUACGUGCCAGCAGCCGCGGUAAUACGUAGGGGGCAAGCGUUAUCCGGAUUUACUGGGUGUAAAGGGAGCGUAGACGGCUGCGCAAGUCUGAAGUGAAAGCCCGGGGCUCAACCCCGGGACUGCUUUGGAAACUGUGUAGCUAGAGUGCUGGAGAGGCAAGCGGAAUUCCUAGUGUAGCGGUGAAAUGCGUAGAUAUUAGGAAGAACACCAGUGGCGAAGGCGGCUUGCUGGACAGUAACUGACGUUGAGGCUCGAAAGCGUGGGGAGCAAACAGGAUUAGAUACCCUUGUAGUC